rnacentral:rRNA from 1 species
AGCAGCCGCGGUAAUUCCAGCUCCAAUAGCGUAUAUUAAAGUUGUUGCAGUUAAAAAGCUCGUAGUUGAACCUUAGGCCCGUGCGGGCGGUCCGUCCUCAGGGCGAGCACUGCUUCGUCGCGGGUCUCACCUUCUGGCGAGCGUGGAUGCCAUUUAUUUGGUGUCUGCGGGAACCAGGACCUUUACCUUGAAAAAAUUAGAGUGCUCAAAGCGGGCUCAUGCGCUUGAAUACAUUAGCAUGGAAUAAUGAAAUAGGACGAUGGUUCUAUUUUGUUGGUUUCCGGGACGUCGUAAUGAUUAAUAGGGAUAGUUGGGGGCAUUCGUAUUCAAUUGUCAGAGGUGAAAUUCUUGGAUUUAUUGAAGACGGACUAACUGCGAAAGCAUUUGCCAAGGAUGUUUUCAUUAAUCAAGAACGAAAGUUGGGGGAUCGAAGACGAUCAGAUACCGUCGUAGUCUCAACCAUAAACUAUAGCCGACUGGGAAUCGGACGAUGUUAUUUUUUGUGACUCGUUCGCGACCC